AUUGAACGCUGGCGGCAUGCCUUACACAUGCAAGUCGAACGGUAACGGGUCCUUCGGGAUGCCGACGAGUGGCGAACGGGUGAGUAAUAUAUCGGAACGUGCCCAGUAGUGGGGGAUAACUGCUCGAAAGAGCAGCUAAUACCGCAUACGACCGGAGGGUGAAAGGGGGGGAUCGCAAGACCUCUCGCUAUUGGAGCGGCCGAUAUCAGAUUCGCUAGUUGGUGGGGUAAAGGACUACCAAGGCAACGAUCUGUAGUUGGUCUGAGAGGACGACCAGCCAAACUGGGACUGAGGCAGGGCCCAGACUCCUACGGGAGGCAGCAGUGGGGAAUUUUGGACAAGGGGCGCAAGCCUGAUCCAGCAAGGCCGCGUGCAGGAAGAAGGCCUUCGGGUUGUAAACUGCGUUUGUCAGGGAAGAAAUCUUCUGGGCUAAUACCCCGGGAGGAUGACGGUACCUGAAGAAUAAGCACCGGCUAACUACGUGCCAGCCGCCGCAGUAACAC
rnacentral:rRNA from 1 species